rnacentral:rRNA from 1 species
UACGGGGGGGGGCAAGCGUUGUUCGGAAUUACUGGGCGUAAAGGGCGCGUAGGCGGCCUGCUAAGUCGGACGUGAAAUCCCCCGGCUCAACCGGGGAACUGCGUCCGAUACUGGUGGGCUCGAAUCCGGGAGAGGGAUGUGGAAUUCCAGGUGUAGCGGUGAAAUGCGUAGAUAUCUGGAGGAACACCGGUGGCGAAGGCGGCGAUCCUGGACCGGUAGUUGACGCUGAGGCGCGAAAGCCAGGGGAGCAAGCGGG